UACGGGGGGGGCAAGCGUUGUUCGGAAUUACUGGGCGUAAAGGGCUCGUAGGCGGCCAACUAAGUCAGACGUGAAAUCCCUCGGCUUAACCGGGGAACUGCAUCUGAUACUGGAUGGCUUGAGGUUGGGAGAGGGAUGCGGAAUUCCAGGUGUAGCGGUGAAAUGCGUAGAUAUCUGGAGGAACACCGGUGGCGAGGGCGGCAUCCUGGACCAAUUCUGACGCUGAGUGAGCGAAAGCCAGGGGAGCAAACGGG
rnacentral:rRNA from 1 species